UACAGGGGGUGCAAACGUUGCUCGGAAUCAUUGGGCGUAAAGCGCACGUAGGCGGUUCGUUAUGUCGGAUGUGAAAGCCCUUGGCUUAACCGAGGAAGUGCAUCCGAAACUGGCGAGCUAGAGUACGAAAGAGGAUCGCGGAAUUCCCGGUGUAGAGGUGAAAUUCGUAGAUAUCGGGAGGAACACCGGUGGCGAAGGCGGCGAUCUGGGUCGAUACUGACGCUGAGGUGCGGAAGCGUGGGGAGCAAACAGG
rnacentral:rRNA from 1 species